rnacentral:rRNA from 1 species
UACGUAGGGGGCUAGCGUUGUCCGGAAUCAUUGGGCGUAAAGCGCGCGUAGGCGGCCCAGUAAGUCCGUUGUAAAAGUCAAAGGCUCAACCUUUGAAAGCCGAUGGAUACUGCUGGGCUAGAGUCCGGAAGAGGCGAGUGGAAUUCCUGGUGUAGCGGUGGAAUGCGCAGAUAUCAGGAGGAACACCGAUAGCGAAGGCAGCUCGCUGGGACGGUACUGACGCUGAGACGCGAAAGCGUGGGGAGCGAACAGG